rnacentral:rRNA from 1 species
UAGGGAAUCUUCGGCAAUGGACGAAAGUCUGACCGAGCAACGCCGCGUGAGUGAAGAAGGUUUUCGGAUCGUAAAACUCUGUUGUUAGAGAAGAACAAGGACGUUAGUAACUGAACGUCACCUGACGGUAUCUAACCAGAAAGCCACGGCUAACUACGUGCCAGCAGCCGCGGUAAUACGUAGGUGGCAAGCGUGGUCCGGAUUUAUUGGGCGUAAAGCGAGCGCAGGCGGUUUCUUAAGUCUGAUGUGAAAGCCCCCGGCUCAACCGGGGAGGGUCAUUGGAAACUGGGAGACUUGACUGCAGAAGAGGAGAGUGGAAUUCCAUGUGUAGCGGUGAAAUGCGUAGAUAUAUGGAGGAACACCAGUGGCGAAGGCGGCUCUCUGGUCUGUAACUGACGCUGAGGCUCGAAAGCGUGGGGAGCAAACAGG